rnacentral:lncRNA from 1 species
CUCCAGAAGAAUGGACUGCUUGAUGGAAACAAAAGGAAAACUGGCAACGUUGGUACACUGUUUCACUGUCAUAAUGUUUUUGAAAGGUUUUAAGUCCAUUUGCACAAUGGGUUUAUCGCUGAAAUAAUUUUCCAUUACUACAUUAAUGUACAGAAUCAGUGCGAAAGGGUUUAUCAAGUUUUCAUCGAGAUUACACCUGACAGUUUCAAUCAUCCGUUAAAAAGGGUUAUAAACCAAUUAGAAUCACAUUUGUGCUGACAGCUUCCUCCAACAAUUCUGUGUGCCACAUCCCAAUCGAUACUGUUGAAAAUCCCUUAAUCAAUGCCAUGGGCUUAUCCCAUUUAGCAAUCACAAUUUAUAUGUGUGCAGACAAAAUCGGUCGCAUUCAUAGAUGUGUCGUCAUUAAUUACUUAAACGGAAGUUACAUUCCAUCCGUUCGCUUCAGUCGUUCCAUCCAUUCAUUCGGGCCUUUUAAUUUUCUAUGAUUUAUGCGUAAUUUGCUCUCGAACCGAACCUGCUUGUCCGUUUAAGUGACUUCCCCUGUUGCCUGUCCGCAGAAACUGAGGAGACAUGUGCACCUGUGUCGGCCACAUCCUGUGCACAAAACAC